UCCUACGGGGGGCAGCAGUGAGGAAUAUUGGUCAAUGGGCGCGAGCCUGAACCAGCCAAGUCGCGUGAGGGAAGACGGUCCUAUGGAUUGUAAACCUCUUUUGUCGGGGAGCAAAAGACGCCACGCGUGGCGUUCCGAGAGUACCCGAAGAAAAAGCAUCGGCUAACUCCGUACCAGCAGCCGCGGUAAUACGGAGGAUGCGAGCGUUAUCCGGAUUUAUUGGGUUUAAAGGGUGCGUAGACGGGAUGCCAAGUCAGCGGUAAAAUCGCGGGGCUCAACCUCGCUCCGCCGUUGAAACUGGCGUU
rnacentral:rRNA from 1 species